GCAUAUCAAUAAGCGGAGGAAAAGAAACUAACAAGGAUUCCCCUAGUAACGGCGAGCGAACCGGGAACAGCCCAAGCUUAGAAUCGGGCGGCUCCGCCGUCCGAAUUGUAGCCUGGAGAAGCGUCCUCAGCGGCGGACCGGGCCCAAGUCCCCUGGAAUGGGGCACCGGAGAGGGUGACAGUCCCGUCGUGCCCGGACCCUGUCGCACCACGUAGGCGCUGUCGGCGAGUCGGGUUGUUUGGGAAUGCGAGCCCCAUAUCGGGCGGUAAAUUCCGUCCAUAGGCUAAAUACCGGCAGAGACCGAUAUGCAAACAAGUACCGCGAGGGAAAGAUGAAAAGGACUUUGAAAAGAGAGUCAAAGAGUGCUUGAAAUUGUCGGGAGGGAAGCGGAUGGGGGCCGGCGAUGCGCCCCGGUCGGAUGUGGAACGGCACCAGCCGGUCCGCCGAUCGGCUCGGGGCGUGGACCAGCGCGGAUUGGGGCGGCGGCCAAAGCCCGGGCUGUAGAUUUGCCCGUGGAGACGCCGUCGUCUCGAUCGUGGCGGGGCAGCGCGCGCCAUCGGCGUGCUUCGGCAUCUGCGGCGGCUCCCGGUGCUGGCCUGCGGGGCACCCCAUUUCGGCCGGUUCUUGAAACCACGGGACC
rnacentral:rRNA from 1 species